rnacentral:rRNA from 1 species
UAAGAUAAAUACCUUGCGGUAAUAGACUUAGUUAUUUAGUUAGUUUUCUUAUAAUAGAUAAUAGAACUAAAUCUUUAACUAUAAUAUCCUAUAGACCUAAUAGUUAAGUAAAGAUUUAAUCCCUUAGAAGCCUAAAAAGUCUAAAAAUCUAGUCUUUUCCUUUAGCAUACUUUAAGUUAUGCUUUCCUACCUAAAUAGUCAAGAGAUUAAGGGGCAAGGAGCUAUAAGCGUAAAAAUGUCUUUUCUUUGUAGUCCUAACUUAUCUAUAGUUUUUUAACCACUAAUUAGUAUUAGUUUCCUUACUAAGGAAUAAUAUACUAGUGUAAAAGGUCUAAUUUAACUCUAAAGGUAAUAAUAAUUAAUAAUAACUAAGAAGCUAAGAAAGGGGAGAAGGAGAGGAAUCUAGCUAGGUUAGAAGGUAAGCAAAAAAGGGGAAAAGUGAGGUAGCAGUGGCGUUAUAGUGUAGGGGCAUUAUAAUAGUGUAGGGUUGUAGCUAAUCGCGUUGCGUGCAUUCGUUUAAAGGCCUCACAUCUGCCCUGACCUUUGGCCACGAUUAAACCGAACAAGACCCGAAGGUCCGAAGGAUUUAACAACUAUAAUAAUAUUAUUAACUAAAGUAAAGCUUCUAGUGCUUUCUUACUAUAGUAAAAAGCUUAUAGCCUUUAGAUAAUUAUAUUAAGAGAUUAGGCUAUACCUAGGAGAUAAUAUACUUAAAAUUAAAUAUAAUAAUAUAUAGAUAAUUUACUUUCUUAAAGAAGAGUUUAUUAAGCUUAUUAUAAAGCUUUAGUAUAUAGAUAUUUAUUACUACUAGCUUUAUUAAGAGGUUAUAAAAUAAACCUUUAAUAUUACCUAGAUUACUACUAAGGAGAUAAUUACUAAUAGCCUUAUAAAGCCUCUUAUAAGAAAUACUUUUAUAAGCUUUUAUAAGGUAUUAGGGCUUAUAUAACUACCCUUUAGUAUACUUAGUAAAAAACCUAAAGAAUAAGUAUUAUAUAAUAACUUUAAUUUAGAUAAGAUUAUAGCUAAUUAACUAUAUUUUUACACUAUAAAAUUAAUUUAAAUAUUACUAUAUUAAUUUAACUAAUUUUAUUAAUUUAGAAUUAUUAUAAAGAACCUUAAAUAAGGUCUCCUAAGGGGGUAUAUUAUACCUAUAAGGGUAUAAUUAAUCCUUACUAUAUAAUAGUCUUAUUACUUAACUAGCUAAGAUAAGAGUUUACCCCUAGCUAGUUAUUUUCUAAGAUCUCUAUAACUUUAUAGUAUAUUUUAGCACUAUAUAAGUACCUUACUUAUAGUAAAGGUACUUGGGUAUUUAAGCCGUAGUCCGCACCCUCUUACAGGGUUGGAUAACUUAAUAGAGGUGGUCACAUUGAACCCUAGCUUCGCGGUCUAACAGUAGACGCUUAUCAGACACCACAAAAGGUGUUAGUAUAUCUUAACAGCAGGACAGUGGCUAUGGAAGUUAGAAUCCGCUAAGGACUAUAUAAUAACUCACUUACUAAAUAUACUAGCCUUAAAAAUAGAUAGCGCUUAAGUAUCUUACCUAUACCUUGCCCUUAGGGUAAAAAUAAAGCCCUAAGGAGUAGGUAGAUAUAGGGGUUAGUAAUAAAGCCUAGGGCAUAAGCCUAGGUUAAAUAGCCUCUAGUGUAGAUCUUAGUAGUAGUAGUAAAUACUUUAAUAAGAACUUAAAGGACUAAAGUAAGGAAAGGUUCUAUAUAAAUAGUAGUUAAAUAUAGGUUAGUUAAUCCUAAGCUAUAGGGAAGUUCUAUUUUAAAGGUACACUUAUACGCUAUCUAGUAAAAGGGGAGCUAGUUAAUAUUCUAGCACCUAGAUGUGGGUUUUGCGUAGUAAUAUAACUAAACACGGAGAUAAUAGCAGGGGCCCUAAGUAGAGUUCUCUUUUUUUCUUAAUAGUCUCUUACUCUAAAAUUAGUUUAUCUAGAGAUAGAGUUUAAUAGCCGGAAAAGCCUAGCACCUCUACUAGGUUUAGUGUGCUCUAGAUAUCCCUUAAAAAUCCGUAGGAAGGAAUAAUUCUUAUGCUAGGUUAUACUUAUAACUAUAGUAAGUCUCUAAGGUAAAUAGCCUCUGGUUAAUAGAAUAAUAUAGAUAAGGGAAGUUAGCAAAAUAGAUCUAUAACUUUAGGAAAAGGAUUAGCUCUAAGGGUUAGGUGUGUUAGGCCUUAGGAGGAUGCCCUAGGAGUAGGUAGCUACUAGCUAGGUAACCGGCUAGCAGUAGCUAGUAUCUAGGUGCUAAUGCCCUUAGCAGGCCUUGGCCGUCUGGCGCACGAUUAAUAACUAACUUAGAACUAGUAUAAACAAGGGGAAUCUAACUAUCUAAUUAAAAUAUAGCAUUACGAUGGCUAGAAAGUGGUGUUAAUAUAAUAUAAUUUCUGCCUAGUGCUCUAAAUAUUAAAGUGAAGUAAUUUAACUAAGCGCGGGUAAACAGCGGGAGUAACUAUAACUCUCUUAAGGUAGCUAAAUGCCUUAUUAUCUAAUUAGUAACGCGUAUAAAUAAAUUAAUAAGAUUCCCACUGUCCUUAUUUACUAUCUAGCAAAACUAUAGCUAAGGGAAUAGGCUUAGUAGAAUUAGCGGGGAAAGAAGACCCUAUUAAGCUUAACUCUAGUUUAAUAUUAUAAAAAGAUAUAGGAGGUGUAGAAUAGGUAGGAGCUUUAGCGCUAGUAAAAUACCACUACUCCUAUUAUUUUUUUACUUAUUUAAUAAAGUAAGGCUAGAUUUUUAUCUAACUUCUAGUUUUAAGGUCCUUUGCGGGCUAACCUAGGUUAAAGAUAUUAUUAGGUAGGGAGUUUAGCUAGGGCAGCAUAUCUAUUAAACUAUAACGCAGGUGUCCUAAGGGGGGCUUAUAGAGAAUAGAAAUCUCUAGUAGAAUAAAAGGGUAAAAGUCCCCUUAAUUUUGAUUUUUAGUAUAAAUAUAAACCAUAAAAGUGUGGCCUAUUAAUCCUUUAGUCCCUUAAUAUUUAAGGCUAGAGGUGCUAGAAAAGUUACCACAGGGAUAACUAGCUUGUGGCGGCUAAGCGUUUAUAGUGACAUCGCUUUUUAAUCCUUUAAUAUUAGCUCUUCCUAUUAUACUAAAGCAGAAUUUAGUAAGCGUUAGAUUGUUUACCUACUAGAGUUUAGUUAGUAGGGAUAGUUAGGUCUUAGAUUAGUUCUAAGAUUAUACUAGCUAGUUAAUAUAGCACAGAACUACAGGGGCUAUGUAGCAACAUAACCUGGAUUAGGGGAGGCUAAGGCCUAGUGGCUAUGCUAAUCCUAAGGGGAGUCUUGCUUAAGUGAUCUUUUAAGACCCUUAUAAAGCGCAGUAAGGUGUAGGUGGUCUCCUUAGGAGACUGCUUAAGGGAUGUGCUAGACCUAUAGGAAACCAUGCUAAAUACAAAGGACCUGCAGUCUGGAUUAUUUAGAGGGCGAUUAAGUGCAG